GUUUGGAUGAGAUAAGUAUUAAGCAACAACAAAUGGGUGAUGUAAGCCAUCGACAAACAUGUGUCCGGUGUUUUCUUGCUAUUAUUUGCUUUGCUCUUAAUUCAGAGCUGGGGUGUUGCUGUGCUGAUGGGUUUGUAACAAAGAUGCUGAAUCUAAGACUUAUCCAAUGAAGCUCCUGAAUAAGGGGACCCUAAAAGGAACCUUUGUGUGGCACCAGCAAAACUGAAAAACUUGUGUGAAGACAAGUAAAAUACAGUGUCCGAACUCCGAAGUCAACAGAAAUUUACAUUUGGUUGAUGUGGUGAAAUCUGCAUGGAUGUCAUUUCAGGAUUAUUUUCUCAUGAAAAGAAAUAUAUAGAUUUUUGUUGAAAUUUAAUAGGAAGACACUAUUAAAUUUAAAUCUGAACAAGCACCAUUAAUCAGAUAACAUACCGGUUCGCUGUCAUUUUUGAGAAACAUGGAGCUCUCCAUCUCGUUGGAUGGAAAACCUGGUCCUUAGGUUUCUCACAGGCUUGCAUAGUUGUACUUAUUCUUUAUACCUACAUUAUUCUCAUCUGUUUGGUGCUAUUAUUACUUACUCGCAAAACUUCUAGGCUUUGGUGAUGUCUUUUUGUAACUUGUGUGAUCUGUCUUCCUUUCAUAAAGCCAGGAAGUUGGUAGUUGCUCAUACCAUGUGCCAGUUAACUCUGGUGACAAACAAAUGAAUGAGGAUUCGAACAAUGUGAACAAAGACACUAUUGAAUGCAAGGUUGAAUCUAAGCAAAUUGCUCAAGGUAUAUAGCAGACCAAAAUAAGGCCAGACUCCAAAACCUUGCCUUUCAUAUCAACUUAUUUCGUUAUAAUUUGUCAAGGGCAAAGGUAAGGAAUAAGAUGCUUAGGUUUUUACCCUUCAUCAAUGGGAGAAGAGGAAAGCCACUGGUUUGAAGCCAAAUGCAGAAAGCUAUGUGCAUGACACUAGCGGAGAUGAGUAGUUGGCAAGGCAACACCAGGAACAACUAGAACUAGAAGAUACGCCAGAGUGCGAGGAAUGAGCAGAGGAAGAUUUUAGCCAGUGACACAGUUGUAGGUUUAUAUGUUUGUUGUGUGUUCAGUGUAGUCCACUGGAUGUAGGGCAAAAGUGGACAGCCCUCGUAGUAUCAUGUUUGGGUAAUAGUACAACAC
rnacentral:lncRNA from 1 species